GACGAACGCUGGCGGCGUGCUUAACACAUGCAAGUCGAACGAUUGGCGAACGGGUGAGUACUACGCGGGUGAUCUGCCUUGCACUUCGGGAUCAGCUUGGGAAACUGGGUCUACUACCGGAUAGUGCAAGAUUAGCUCGCGGCCUAUCAGCUUGUUGGUGGGGUAAUGGAUCCCAAGGCGCGACGGGUGGCCGGCCUGAGAGGGUGUACGGCCACAUUGGGACUGAGAUACGGCCCAGACGCCUACGGGAGGCAGCAGUGGGGAAUAUUGCACAAUGGGCGGAAGCCUGAUGCAGCGACGCCGCGUGGGGGAUGAGGGACUUCGGGUUGUAAACUCCUUUCGACAGGGACGCGGUACCUGUAUAAGAAGCACCGGCUAACUACGGGCCAGCAGCCGCGGUAAUUC
rnacentral:rRNA from 1 species